AUACAGGUUGACAGCAUAUAUACUAAAACUGAAAUGAUAUAGAGCAUAUUAGAAUAGUCCUGGUGCAAGUGUGAUAUAUAAAUUGGUGGCAUAUUCCAUAUUUUU